rnacentral:lncRNA from 1 species
CCUAAUUGCUUUUCAAUUUCACUUGUAUAUGUGUGAUUUUCUUUCGAUUUGGGUUUGAUUUAGAUUUCCAAUUUCACCACUUCUACAAUUUGUUUCGGUCUUUGAUUUGGUAAUUGUUACAGUAUCGUUAGGUUCAUGUGAAUUCAGGAUCAGAAAAAAAACUGUAUGAUUAGAAAUGAGAGAGCUUCCACAAUACCACCACACUUCUCUCGCCAUCCACCAUAACAAACACUAAGCCUUGGUAAGAUACUUUAAUAAGUUUAUUUCUUUAAUUUUUUCCACUUUUGAUCAUAUCUUUCUAACAACAUCUGUGUGUAAUUUCAUAAUUUCUCUGCCAUUGUGAAUUUGAUAUAUGAAUCUCCUCUUUGUAUAAGCUUUAUUUGCCUAAUUGAGACCAAAAUACUAAUUUCCUUUUAAAUUUCUUUGCUUCAAUUAUAUCUUUAUGUAAUGGUGUUAUACACAAAUUACAUGUAGGUGAUUUUUUUUCAGAAUUUCUACUUCGAAGUUUGUCUACCACCUGCUCGAUGAAAUGCUUAAGAGAAACUUAUGUUUUUUUUUUUUUUUCAAUAUACCACUAUGUUUAGCAUUAAAAAUGACGGUGAGGUAUUGUAACCAGACUAUAUUUACAUAAAUUUACUUUCUUGGUUUUUUUUUUUGUGGAAAAUCACUUUCUUCUAUGUAUAGUGCUCUACCAGUGGCAUGAAAUUUGGGGGGAUAAAAUACUUCAGGAGCUUAACAAGGUUAAUACCUUUUAUGGGGACAAAAAUUUAAAGUCCCUGCAAAUGCGAAUGAAUCGGCAAUCAGUUGUUUGUUAAGUUAGUGAAUGAUAUAAGUGAGAUUUAUUUUGGAAAUGUUUAAUUUCAGUUUAUGCUCAAAGUCUCUAAAGGCUAACUUUUUUCACCAGGUUGUUAUUGUUUAUAUUGAUUUGGACAGGUAGGUAAAUCCAUAAUUUAUAUCAUUAAAUGGUUUUUACUCUGUUGGCACAAUUUCUAAUUUUUGUCUUACCUUUGUUAUAUAAUGUUGUCACUCUAUUGUUUAGGCUGUAGUAUGCUUUUUGGCACAUUAUGAUUUGUUUAUUCUUCAUUUCUUUGAUAGUUUAUCUCAUAAGUUCAACUUAAUAGGUUAUUCCUGAUUUGACUAAUGUUAUAUACUUAUGUAGAAUUUAUAAGCUGCAUUGUUAUCUGUUGCUUACUACUAUUUGAUAUUAUUUUUAUAAUUGUGUUUUUUUUGGAUACCUUUUCAGCUUUUCAUCAAGUUUUUACGUAUUUUUUCUUAUUGAUAUCACAUAAUAUGUUACUAAUGAAAGUAUGUUACUAUUUCCUUCUGCAGGUUUUACGAUUCAUCAUGCAACAAAACCCGAAGAAACAAUGAAAAAAUGAUUAUCCAUGAUGACAAGGGACUGCAAUUGUUUCUAUAAAAUCAUGGUUUCUGCUUCUUUCAAAAUAAACAUUCCAAAUUACUUUUGGACCACAAGAAAUAACAAUCUCUUUCAUGGCAAAAUACAUAAAAGCUACUAUAUUUUGGUCUUUUUUGUACACAACUAUAUGAAUAUGAUGUUUCUUCAAAUCAAAUCACUGCUCUAUCUAUCCUCGAUCCUCAUUACAGUUUUUUUUGCUGUUCAAAUUGAUUUAUGAAUGGUUAAAUCAGUCAACCAAAUUCCAUUCCGAUUUGAACCAAACCAAGUUACAAUUUGAUUAUCAAAACAUUUUAAUAUAAACCAAGACAAAUGCUAAAACCUAUAGCCUUGCAACUCAGGUGAGACUAUAUUUUGUAAAUUUACAAUGAUUAAUUUUUUUUUUUUUUAAUUUUCUAAUAAAAAGGAUUUAUAUGUAGGAUUUUAUGGUAAAGGACGAAGCAAUUCAUACAAACCAUUCAUCUUCCGACCACUACAGGGAUAAUAUUUUUUUUUUUAUUGUUUAUAAAUUUGAGCAGGUUUUAACAAUUUAAGCAAUACAUUUUCGUUUCUUUUUCAGUGAUAAAGGGUAAUUUCGGAAUACAAAAUUCACCAACGGAUUCCAUUCUAAAAUCCGAAUGGCAAAAUUACUUCUUUGGCAACACUUUUGGAAGCGAGUUGAAACCGUAGAUAAAUUUGAAGAUUUUUCAAAAUCUUUCAUAGACGAGGAAGAUGAAGAAGGGAACCUCCCACCCCAGUUUGCACAAACCAGAAUGGAAUUAACCCCUUUUUGUCAACAUCAAAUAAUCACUAACUCUGUUCAAGAACAUGGUGUGGAUUUUAGUAAAGCCAUUCAAGUACCUUUUAUCUCUCAAUGCCCAACAGAAUAUCAAAAACUCAGUCUACCAAAUUCGGUAAAUUACACAAAUACCCCUUAACUAUUUUUUUAAAGACUUUGGGCUUAUGAUAAAGUUUAUAUCUUCUUACUUCAAAACAUGAAAACCUGAUUGAGUGUUAUUCAAGUGGUUCUGAAGAUGAUUCUGUGAGAAUUUAAACAUUACUAAAAUGUUGUCUUUACCUUCCACAAUCUUUAAAUUUUUAGGAAACAUUCGGGUUUACUGCAGGAUUAGACCUACAUUUCAUUUAGAACUGAUACAAAGAACGUGAUUGAUUACAUUUGGAGAAGAUAGGUCAUUAGUGGUUUUAGAGCCUUUAAAACAUCAUAAAGAUGGAAAAAAGUUGUUUCGAACCGCGUUUUGAGUCCAACCGGUACUCAAGGUAAUAAUAAAAUUCAAACAUUUUUCCAGAAUUAGAACCUUCUGUUGACUAAUGUUUUGACUGUUAUUAGAGGAGGUUUUUUGCUAACAAGAGAAAAAAAACGAACACAGUGCCAACGGCGCGCAUGAUUUCUUCUAGUUAUUGAUGAUUUGUUUAACUACAAUCAAAAGAUAAAACGUUUGAAGAAAUGGAAAAUAAAGAAAAAAAGAAGAAGAAGAAGCUUUCGUCUAAAAUUGUAAUAAUUUGGAAUUCUAAUUUUUUGAUAACGGUAAAAAAAUAGAUGUAAGUGAGAUAUUCAAUAUUCGUAUUGGUUUGAAAAUGCCAAUAAUAUUUUUAUUUGUUUGUGUAAUUGUUUAAAGUGAUACAUACAUUUAUGUAUCAUUUUCAACAAUUAGACCAUUAAAAUGAUAUUGUUAGUAUUUCCAAAUUCAUUUUUCUUACGUUAUAUAAAAAUAAAAUCAUGUUUAUAUAAUAAGUUAAUGAGUUGAAAUAAAGUAACUCAACAUAUGCGUAACAUUUUCUUAAUUGAGUUUCAUUUUGUUUUUC